UGAAAUCAGAGGUUUUCAGAGAGAUUCGUGCAUUGAUUCCUCAAUGGAGAAUACUGUGCCUGUGCCAUCUGUUAAGCAAAGUGCUGCACGUACAACGCAAUAUGCCCUGCAGCAUGCGACAGAGCCUUGCAGAUUAGAUGUGAAGAGAAGUGGCUGUAAGGGGAGAGAAAAGCCCAGGUGCUGGAGCUGCUACAGAGCGGUCCUGCAUCUCUUGGAUCUUUUGGUGUGUGAGCCAUCAAAUUUGGAUGCCUUUACAGUUUUGGGCUGGCAAGGUUUGGUUCUCAUCAAGUGAGUAAAAUGUCCCCCACAUUCAGAUUCCAGCCUGGAUUCUGCAGUGCCGCCUUAGCAGCCAGCAGCAGGAGUGAGCUGCACAACCUCCCAGCCACUGCCCUCAAGCAUUCCCAGCACUGAUAAAUAAAUGUACCUUACAAACUCUGGCAAAUUCAAAGGUGAAUUUUAAAAAAAGAAGCCUUUAGAAAUC
rnacentral:lncRNA from 1 species